rnacentral:lncRNA from 1 species
AGUUUUUUUUUUCUUCACAAUCAUUCAUUUGUCACAAUGGUUAUAUUUAUAUUGAUAAAAAAAGGAAUUAAAGCCUCUGGGAUAGGCUCUAGCAUCAUCUAAUCAAGCACUCCUACUAGGGAUAGGCUUUGGCUAAGAGCAUCUCCAACAGCCGUGCUAUAUAAGCGCCGCGCUGAAAAAUUAGUACUUUUUGCGCGCGCUACCGCUCUGGCCGCUCCAGCGGAGGCGCAAAAACCGCACGCGCGACAUAUCUAGUUCAGCACACAGGCCGAAACGCCAUCGCGUGCCGCUUAUUUGCUGCGUCCGCUCCCACGCGCUGGACUCUCGAGCGCUCGACCCACCUACCCCAUCCAGCCGCCGGUGCCGCCACCGCCCGCACCACGCCAUUUCUUCCGGCGACCGUUCUGGCGCUCCCCCGGCCUAUCCCCGCACCGUCGCGGCUUUCUCCAUCUCCUUCUAGUCACCGCUACCCGUCGCGCGCGGCAGUCCUCCAACGAACAGCACCCGGCCGCUCACCGCCGCUCGGCGCCCGCAAGGUGUUCGACAAAACGCUCGCAAGGUAUGUAUUGCUUCAACUUCACAUUUCUUACAUGAAUUUGGUGCAUGUUGUUUGUAGUUUUUAUAGCCUAGUUUAUAUUGAACAUUGUAGAUGAGUUCGUCGUAUGAUUCUUCCGAAGAAGAAUUUGAUAUGGAAGAGGAGGAUCUUGCAAUGAUCCUAGCUAUGCACAUCGAUAAAAAACCGAAGCACGGUGGUUCGGUUAUGGGUCGGCAGAAAAUUUGGAGGGAUAGGAUUGAUGCCCACAACAGAUUGAUGAGGCACUAUUUUGUGGAGAAUCUCACAUACCCCGAGUCGUACUUUCGUCGCGGUUUAGGAUAAGCACCGAGUUGUUCAGGCUCAUUGCAGAGAAACUAGCGAGCCAUGGCCGGUUUUUUCAGCAAAAGAGGAAUGCCGCCGGAGAGCUCGGGCAUAGCACCUUUCAUAAGGUGAUAACCGCUUUGCGUAUGUUGGCAUACGGUAUCCCCGUUGAUCUAGUUGAUGAUCACUUGGCCAUGGUUGAGAGUCAAGCCAUCAUGUGUGUCAAGCGCUUUGCAGUCGGAAUUGUACAAGUGUUUGGCCAGGAGUACUUGCGAUCUCCCAAUGCUGAAGACGCCGCAAGGCUAUUGGAGAUGAACAAAGCUCGCGGCUUCCCAGGUACGCUUUGCUCAAUAGAUUGCAUGCAUUGGAGUUGGAAGAAUUGUCCAAAGGCAUGGCAUGGGCAAUUCCACAGCCAAAAAAAGGGUUCCACUAUAAUCCUUGAAGUGGUGGCCGAUCAAGAGACUUGGAUUUGGCAUGCUUUUUUUGGAAUGCCUGGAUCUUUGAAUGACAUCAACGUUGUUAACCGGUCACCACUGAUGAAUAAGAUUGCAAAUGGUGAACUGCCACCGGUGCAGUUUGUAGCAAAUGGCCGUACAUACAAGUAUGGAUACUAUCUUGCGGAUGGCAUCUACCCAAAGUGGCAAACAUUUCUGAAGCCGUUGAAAAAACCGGAAGUUAAGAAAAAUCUUGAUUUCCACAAUGCUCAGGCGGCGGCUAGAAAAGAUGUGGAGAGAGCUUUUGGGAUUUUGCAAGCCCAAUUUGCUAUUGUGAGAGGACCGACUAGAUUUUGGGAUCAAAAGAUACUUUGGUACAUCAUGCACGCUUGUGUGAUCAUGUACAACAUGAUCAUCGAGAAUGAGCGUGGCCAAGAUGUAGACUACUCUCACUAUGAGCUCUUGAGACAUCCCGUGCGAGUGCGGCGGAGGGCUGAAAGGGUGGCCCGUUUUGUUGCCUCCUAUCAUGCCAUUCGACGUCCCGCAGCGCAUGAUGAUCUUCACAAGGAUCUCAUUGAGGACUGGUGGGCUUGGAAUGGCCGACAAAGAGCAUCAUGAUUUGUGCGUUUGAUCUUGUAUUGUCGAACUAUUUGUUGUAUUGCAAGAUAAAUGAUACGUCCAUUUUGCAGCAUGCUUUUAUAUCCAUAUUUAUUGCAUUAUGGGCUGUUAUUACACAUUAUAUCUUAAUACUUAUAUGGCUAUUCUCUCGUAUUUUACAAGGUUUACCAUGAAGAGGGGGAACUCAAUAGACCAUUUGGCAAACUUGCGACUUAAUAGCUCGUCGUGGCUUAUAGGUUAUGUCGAACGGGAGGAGCUCAAUGGCCCAUUUGGCAAUCCGGCCCGUCGCGUCACGGUUGUUUAUAAUGUCAUUAAGAGGUACUUCGGAGGCUACUGUUAUCGAACACUCUUGAAAAUAGUGUCGUGGCUUCCGGGAUGCCAUGAACACCGCGUACGCUAUCUUCUGAUAAUGGGGUACCGUGACUUGCAUGGAGUUAGGACAGUGGACACGUAGUAGACUGGUUUUUGAAGGGGGAACUUGUGUCCGUCCGUUUCUCGUUCGACAACGAGCACCGCGCUCACCACUUGAUAAGUUGCCGCGAUAUAUAAUAGCAUUGGUUCGCCCAUGUUGGGCGCGGCCAGGACCGGGUUUGUUGCCAAUAUGGCUUUUAUUUCUUCGAGUCCGGCCGUGGCGACAUCCAUCCACUCGAAGUGUUAGGUGCGUCGGAGGAGGCAAUAAAGGGGUAAUGCCUUUUCUCCUAAACGGGAGAUAAAGCGGCUUAAAGCCGCCACGCAUCCCGUCAAUUUUUGUAUUUGUUUGAGGUCCUUUGGGAUAUCCAAUUGUGACAGAGCUCGGAUCUUGGCUGGGUUUGCUUCAAUUCCUCUACCGGAUACAAUGAAGCCCAACAGCUUUCUGGCUGGUACGCCUAAAACACAUUUUUCCGGGUUGAGCUUAAUGUCAUAUGUUCGGAGAUUAUCGAACGUGAGCCUCAAAUCGUCUACUAAAGUUUCGACGUGCUUGGUUUUGACAACCACAUCCUCUACAUAUGCCUCCACUGUUUUGCCGAUCUGGUUUGCCAGACAUGUCUGAAUCAUGCGCUGAUAUGUUGCGCCGGCGUUUUUGAGCCCAAAGGGCAUUGGGUUGAAGCAGAAUGGGCCGUAUGGGGUGAUGAAUGCCGUUGCGGCCUGGUCGGGCUCUGCCAUCUUAAUUUGGUGGUAGCCGGAGUAUGCGUCGAGGAAACACAAUGAAUCGUGUCCUGCGGUAGCGUCGAUAAUUUGAUCGAUGCGGGGGAGGGGGAAGGGUUCCUUUGGGCAGGCCUUGUUGAGGUCCUUAAAAUCGACGCAUAGGCGCCAGGAUUUGUCCUUCUUUGGUACCAUUACCAGGUUUGCUAGCCAGUCCGGAUGUUUUAUAUCUCUGAUGAAUCCGGCCUCCAAUAAUUUGGCUAGCUCCUCUCCCAUGGCAUGUCUCUUGGGUUCGGAGAAACGCCGAAGAGCCUAUUUGACUGGCUUGAAUCCUUUUAGGAUGUUUAGGCUGUGCUCGGCCAGCCGGCAUGGGAUUCCAGGCAUGUCUGAAGGGUGCCACGCAAAAAUGUCCCAAUUUUCGCGUAGGAAUUCUCGUAGUUCGGUGUCUACAUCAGGGUUUAAUUGUGCCCCGAUGGAGGCCGUUUUUGUAGGGUCCGUUGGAUGUACUUGGAAUUUGACUAUUUCGUCCGCUGGUUUAAAGGAGAUGGACUUGGAUCUCUUAUCGAGUAUCACGUCGUCCCUAUUCACCGUGGAGCGCAGCGUAGUGAGUUCCUCGGCCGCUAGGGCUUUGGAUAGUGCCUCCAGGGCCAGUGCGGCUGUCUUAUUUUCGGCACAGAGUGCUAUGUCCGGGUCACUAGCAAGAGUGAUGAUUCCGUUGGGCCCGGGGUAUAGCUUGAAAAAUUAUGAAUGCCUCUCGCCCUAAUAGAGCGUGAUAUCCGCUGCUGAACGGGGCCACUUGGAAUGUGACCUCCUCGGACCUGUAAUUAUCCGGCGUGCCGAACACCACAUCCAGUGUGUUUUUUCCUGUACAGCAUGCUUCCCGACUGGGGAUUAUUCCUCUAAAGGUUGUGCUGCUUCGCUCAAUGCGGCUCCAGUCUAUUUCCAUUUUUCGGAGGGUUUCCUCGUAAAUGAGGUUCAGUCCGCUGCCACCGUCCAUGAGUACCUUGGUAAGGCGAAAGCCAUCCACUAUCGGACUGAGGACCAAUGCGGCUGGUGCUCGGGCUGUUCGGAAUUUAGGUUCGUCAUUGGCAUUAAAGGUAAUAGCCGUGUCACUCCAUGGGUUUAUUGUUGCUACUUGGUAGACUUCGGCAAGGCUACGGAGAGUUCGUUUCCGCAUAUUAUUUGAUGCGAAAGUCUCGAAGACUGUUAAUACCGUACUGGUAUCCUUGGACUGGUGCUCUGGAGUUAGAAGCUCUUUGCCACUUUUGGCCAACUGCCGUAGUAUCCAACAUGCUCUAAGGCUAUGAUUGGAGUGGCGCCCUCUGUACUAUGAAUUUUGCAGGGUCCAUUGAGCCAUCCCUCCAGUACGGUUCCAUGCCCUAUAGAGGGUUUUUGCUUUUUGGUAUUUAACCCAGGUGCCUGGCAAUGAUGCACCCUUUUAUUUCGGACUGGGGUUGUAUUCAGGGCCGGACUGUCCCAAAAAUUGAUUUCGGUUCUCCAGGCGCUUUCCAUCGCACAGUACUUUCGUACUAUGGACGGCAAGUCAGCGAAGCAUGUAAUUUCACGACGACUUACGGCGUUGAGGAUUGCCUUGUCCGUGCAAUUAUUGCAGAAGAAUGAAAUUGCGUCCUCCUCACGGCAAUCCUUUAUCCUGUUUAUGACCAGGAGGAAUCUGGCCCAGUAAUGGUGUACUGUUUCUACGGGCUCUUGUCGGAUUUGGGAUAGAUCGCUUAUGUUUGGGUGGGCGGGUUUAAUUAAAUUCGGAACCCCGUUCGAUCUAAAACUCAGGGGCCAAGAAGUUUCCGAACUUGGAAGCUUGGGUUCUUGGAUGUUGUCCAAUGAAUCUAGCCUGCUGCCUGACUUUAGGUUCAGGGCUUGAGUGACGUCCUCCCCUCCGCGAGAAUCCGGCAUGGAGGGAUCGGGAAUCCGGACAUAGCUAGUCCUUAAGAUAGAAGAAGAGUCGCCGUAUUGUUCCUCUACCACAGCAACGUGGUGGGUAACCCGGGGAGAGUUAAUCUCUCUCAGAUCGGGUUUAGGCCCAAUCUGAUCGUAGUCUGUAGCGACUCCCAGGGCGGCGAUGCGAUCCAAAAGCUCAUUGAAGGAAGAGAGCUCCAUCAGAUCUAACUGCUCGGCGAGUUCCGAGUUAACGUAAAGAUUACUUUCGAUGACCCGAGAAGUCAUCGUCGGCGCGGUGGCCGAACUGGCGGUCAUAAGGAAACCGCCUAGCCGGAGAGUUUGACCGAUAGCCAAAGCUCUUUUAGCAACAGUGCCGUCUUUAAAGACGGGAUGAGGCAUCCUUCCUGACGGUGACGGCACAGAGGAACUCUCAAUGAAAGCACUAAUGUCGGUGUCAAAACCGGCGGAUCUCGGGUAGGGGGUCCCGAACUGUGCGUCUAGGCGGAUGGCAACAGGAGACAAGGGACACGAUAUUUUUACCCAGAUUCGGGCCCUCUCGAUGGAGGUAAAACCCUACUCCUGCUUGAUUAAUAUUGAUGAUAUGGGUAGUACAAGAGUAGAUCUACCACGAGAUCAGAGAGGCUAAACCCUAGAAGCUAGCCUAUGGUAUGAUUGUUGUUCGUCCUACGGGCUAAAACCCUCCGGUUUAUAUAGGCACCGAAGAGGGUUAGGGUUACACAGAGUCGGUUACAAUGGUAGGAGAUCUACAUAUCCGUAUCGCCAAGCUUGCCUUCCACGCCAAGGAAAGUCCCAUCCGGACAUGGGACGAAGUCUUCAAUCUUGUAUCUUCAUAGUCCGGGAGUCCGGCCAAUAGUUAUAGUCCGGCUAUCCGGACACCCCCUAAUCCGGGACUCCCUCAGCCCCUCUUUCCCUCUCCCGGCCCUCUCCCUCUCCUUCCUUCCCCCUUCCCCCUUCCUAGUUGGACUAGGAAAGGAGGAGUCCUACUCCUACUAGGAGGACUCCUCCCCUCCUUGGCGCGCCCAAGGGCCGGCCAGCCUCCCCCCUUGCUCCUUUAUAUACGGGGGCAGGGGGGCCUAGAACACACAAGUUGACAUUGUUUAGCCAUGUGCGGUGCCCCCUCCACAGUUACACACCUCAGUCAUAUCAUCGUAGUGCUUAGGCAAAGCCCUGCACCGGUAACUUCAUCAUCACCGUCACUACGCCGUCAUGCUGAUGAAACUCUCCCUCGGCCUCAACUGGAUCAAGAGUACGAGGGACGUCCCCGAGCUGAACGUGUGCUGAUCGCGGAGGUGCCGUACGUUUGAUGCUAAGAUCGGUCGGAUCGUGAAGACAUACGACUACAUCAACCGCGUUGUCAUAACGCUUCCGCUUUCGGUCUACGAGGGUACAUGGACACACUCUCCCCUCUUGUUGCUAUGCAUCACCAUGAUCUUGCGUGUGCGUAGGAUUUUUUUUUGAAAUUACUGCGUUCCCCAAUGGUAAUCAACUUGUGGAUUCCCGUGGUGACAUUGGAGUAAUCUAGGCAUCGAGGUUGAUACAUGUUUUCAUCCUACUUUCUCCGAUAGGAACUUUGGAGUGAUUCUUUUUCGCACAUUGAGGGAGUGUUAUAUGAUUCAGUUAUGUUAGCACUGUUGAGAGAUUGCACUAGUGAAAGUAUGAACCUUAGGCCUUGUUUCUAAGCAUUGUAAUACCGUGUGUGCUCACUUUUGUUACUUGCUACCUUGCUAUUUUUAAUUGUUCAGAUUAUAGAAACCUAUUUCUACCAUACAUAUUACACUUGUAUCACCACCUCUUCAUCGAAAUAGUGCACCUAUACAAUUGACAACUGUAUUGGGUGUGCUGGGGACACGAGAGAUUUCUUGUAUUUGAUUGCAGGGUUGUUUGAGAGAGACCAUCUUCAUCUUACAUCUCUCAUGGAUUGAUAAACCUUAGGCCAUUCACUUGAGGGAAAUUUGUUGUUGUCCUACAAAACUCUGCACUUGGAGGCCUAACCGAGUCUAUAAGAAUAAAAGUUGAAUAGUAGACAUCAGGUACCGAGCCAGCAUGAAUUUCCUUGGCUUAUUAUCGAUCUGUGGGACCCGCUACUACUUGUUUCCGUGGCCUUUCGAUAUGGGCAAUGGAGUAUCCGAUUCCGUCAUACUUUUGGACAAGCAGAGAGUGACGACUGAACUAGACUACGGACUGCCCUACCACUGGUGCUAUCGGACUAUCCGGACAAUGCAUCGUGGUGGCUCACUCCGACGGCGGAGUUUUCAGUGAGCACGACAUACCAUGCCUUAUGCCAGUCACCUACCACUCCCUGGCUUCCACUGUUGUGGAAAUCCCCCUUACCCCUCAAGAUUAAGAUCUUUGUGUGGCAGCUAUUACGAGAUCACAUCCCUUCGGGGAUAGAGGUGAAGGAAAUAUGCCCUAGAGGCAAUAAUAAAGUUAUUAUUUAUUUCCUUAUUUCAUGAUAAAUGUUUAUUAUUCAUGCUAGAAUUGUAUUAACCGGAAACAUAAUACAUGUGUGAAUACAUAGACAAACAUAGUGUCACUAGUAUGCCUCUACUUGACUAGCUCGUUUAUCAGAGAUGGUUAUGUUUCCUAGCCAUAGACAAAAGAGUUGUCAUUUGAUUAACGGGAUCACAUCAUUAGGAGAAUGAUGUGAUUGACUUGACCCAUUCCGUUAGCUUAGCACUUGAUCGUUUAGUAUGUUGCUAUUGCUUUCUUCAUGACUUAUACAAUGUUCCUACAACUAUGAGAUUAUGCAACUCCCGUUUACCGGAGGAACACUUUGUGUGCUACCAAACGUCACAACGUAACUGGGUGAUUAUAAAGGUGCUCUACAGGUGUCUCCGAAGGUACAUGUUGGGUUGGCGUAUUUCGAGAUUAGAUUUUGUCACUUCGAUUGUCAGAGAGGUAUCUCUGGGCCCUCUCGGUAAUACUCAUCACCUAAGCCUUGCAAGCAUUGUAACUAAAGAGUUAGUUAUGAGAUGAUGUAUUAUGGAACGAGUAAAGAGACUUGCCAGUAACGAGAUUGAACUAGGUAUUUGAUACCGACGAUCAAAUCUCGGGCAAGUAACAUACCGAUGACAAAGGGAACAACGUAUGUUGUUAUGCGGUUUGACCGAUAAAGAUCUUCGUAGAAUAUGUAGGAACCAAUAUGGGCAUCCAGGUCCCGCUAUUGGUUAUUGACCGAGAAUGGUUCUAGGUCAUGUCUACAUAGUUCUCAAACCCAUAGGGUCCGCACGCUUAACGUUACGAUGACAGUUAUAUUAUGAGUUUAUGAGUUUUGAUGUACCGAAGGAGUUCGGAGUCCCGGAUGAGAUCGGGGACAUGACGAGGAGUCUCGAAAUGGUCGAGACGUAAAGAUCGAUAUAUUGGACGACUAUAUUCGGAGUUCGGAAAGGUUCCGAAUGAUUCGGGUAUUUUUCGGAGUACCGGAGAGUUACGGGAAUUCGCCGGGGAGAAGUAUUGGGCCUUAUUGGGCCCUGCAGGAAAGAGAGAGGGGCUGCCUAGGGCAGGCCGCGCGCCCCCCAUGGCCUAGUCCGAAUUGGACUAGGGGGAGGGGCCGCACCCCCUCCCUCCUUCCCUUCUCUCUUCCCCUUCCUUGUCUCCUACUCCUAAUACAUGGAAGGACUCCUAGUUGGACUAGGAAAGGGGGAAUCCUACUCCCGGUGGGAGUAGGACUCCCCAUGGCGCGCCCCUCCUAGGGCCGGCCUCCUCCUCCCUCCCUCCUUUAUAUACGGGGGCAGGGGGCACCCCAUGGACACACAAGUUGAUCUACGGAUCGUUCCUUAGCCGUGUGCGGUGCCCCCCUCCACCAUAUUCCACCUCGGUCAUAUCGUCGCGGAGUUUAGGCGAAGCCCUGCGCCGGUAGAACAUCAUCAUCGUCAUCACGCCGUCAUGCUGAUGGAACUCAUCCCCGGCGCUUUGCUGGAUCGGAGCCCGGGGAUCGUCAUCGAGCUGAACGUGUGCUGAACUCGGAGGUGCCGUACGUUCGGUACUUGGAUCGGUCGGAUCGUGAAGACGUACGACUACAUCAACCGCGUUGUCAUAACGCUUCCGCUUACGGUCUACGAGGGUACGUGGACAUACACUCUCCCCUCUCGUUGCUAUGCCAUCACCAUGAUCUUGCGUGUGUGUAGGAAAUUUUUGAAAUUGCUACGUUCCCCAACAAGAGGUACUUAAUCGGCAUGGCCCAGGUGAUGGCUUGUGGCCCUUGUGCGCGGUAUCGGAGACUGGGACCCAUAUCCUAUUCUCUUGUACGGCGGCACGGGUUUUAUGGGCGUUCGUGUGAGGCACUGGGGCCCGACUGGAAGGCCCUGAACCUCGCGGCGUUCCUCCAAUACAUGGCUACACAACAUUGCCAGUUAUUCUGGCUUAUCUUUGCGGCGUUGUCAUGGACACUUUGGACGACGCGUAAUAAAAUGGUGAUUGAGAAGGUCUUUCUGAGGAAGACAUUUGACUCCAUCAAAUUCCUUACUUUUCUGCAGUACUGUCACCCGCUCUCGAGGCAGCGUGACUGUCAUCAUCUUGGCCUCAUGAUGGAUGCGCUUCUUGCUACAGCGCGUUGACUAUCGUCCUCGUAGCGCCGCUUGGCGGCUGCCACUAGAUGAUUUUUUUUGUUUCUCUUAUGUUUUCGUGGGCAUGAUUGUGUUGUUGCCCCAGCCGUCGUUCUUUAUAUGUUGUCUGGAUGCUGGUUGUAUGAACCGUUGUUUUAUCUAUAAAGCGGGGCGAAAGCCUAUUUCGAGAGAGUUCUUUGGCUGAUUCAGCAACCUCUAUUUCCUAGCUCAUAAGAAGAAACCUCUAGGGCGUGUUUGGUUGCCCGCAUUAGGCCCAGCAUUGCACGGAACUUAAAGCACCUACAGGCCAGGCCCAGAGGAAACGCAAGAUUCGGCAGUAGCUCGCGAGCCUGGCUUGGGCGAGGCAGGGGAGGGCGACGCGCUUCUCCCCUCGUGCGAGCAGGGGAGAUGGCGCGAGCUCGCCCGCGUCGCUGAAAAAUCAACGGGAGGAUUUUGGCUCACCUACCGCCGCUCCACCCCCUAUUUAGCCCCUCCCUCACCGCCCCAAUUCCCGCCAUCAUUCUUCCUCCGUUCGCACCUUCCCGCCGACGGGCAUCGGCACCGAUGAGCAGGUAAGCGGUGCAUCUUCAUCGGCCGGCGGUCCACGGCGCCGGAGCUCCUUCACCGGCCGGCGUUCAUCUUCCACCACCGUCCCCCUCGUCCUCAAGCUGCAGCCAUGGCCUCUGUGAGUUCAAUCCCCCUUUCUCUCUGUUCCUUGUAGCUAGAUCUGAGCUGCAGUUAGGGUUUGAUCUAGAUGCAUGGUUGAUUAGUGGUCUGAUCUGUGAGCUCAUAUGGUUGGUUGCUAUGCUGCGGUUGCAAUUUGUGGUAGGGCUAGAUGUUCAAGCAUGUGGUAGGCUAGAUUAGUAGUACAGUUUGAAGUUGAGCCUUGUGCUUGUGUUGAAUCAUGCUUAGAUAUAUGAUAUUUGUAGCUAUUGGUAGUCCAUUUGUAGCAUGUUGUUAGUUGUAGAUGUAUGUCUCUGCUUAUAGAUUGUCUGGUAUGCUUAGUAUGAUAGUGAUGAAGCAUGUGCUUGCUAUGAUAGUGAUGAACCAUGUACAUGUAUGCUCCUGCUUUCAUGGAUUUUCCGGUAUGUAGUGUGCUAUGCUCACUGUCAAUGUGUGCUACAAUUGUAGGACAUGACCACGCAGACGCAAGAUCUUAGUCAGGCCAUUAUCCUGUCCGACAGCCAGUUUGCUCCAUCGUUUGUCCAGGACUCGCAGCCUAUCUCCGAGAUGGCACCUGAUUCAGAGGUGUUUGAGUCUGAUUCCCUCUAUGUGCCAGUAGUGCUCGUUGAGCCAACUCCUGCUGCUGCUGCUGCCGCUGCAAUCAAGCUAGCAGCAGCAAAGGCAAAGAAGGAUGGUAGGUCGAACAACAUGAAGUGGCAGCCGUUCAUGUCCAUGUUCGUACUGAACAAGAUGUGUGAGCUCAUCUCUAGUGGAGUUAGGACUGAUAAGGGCUUCAAGGAGGUGCACUUGAACACCGUUGCGAAGCAGGUGUUCGAGUUCUGUGGGCAAGAGGUGUCUGCCGCCCAGGUGUACAACCACCUGAGGAAGUGGAGAAGUCGAUGGAUCCAAGUGUCCAAGCUGAGAGACCUUAGCGGCGCCUCAGGGGAUGAGAACACUUGCUCCAUAGUUCCGGAGGCAGAGCACUCCGCCGGCCAUGUCGCGGUUAGCUCACAGCCCUCUUCCUUUUCAUACUGCCCACCAUUGCCUACCCCUAAUCGCAACUAACAACACUUGUGUUUCAUUCUUAGGACCACCCAAGGGACGCUGAGUUCCUCAACACACCCAUCCAGAACUACAACCAGAUGCAACACGUCUUCUCCUUCGGGCUGGCAACUGGAAAGCAUGCCAUGGGCUUGGGUGAGCCUCUUGGUUCUCCCAUGCCAGACUUCCCUGGGACACCGGACGUCGAGGUCCUUGAUGGCCCUGACAAGCCCGCUGCGAAGCCCUUCGACAAGCCAUUUGACCCCAACCAUGAUAGGAUGAGGAAGAGAGGAGGCCUGAUGGAGGAGGAGAUCAAUGUCUUUUGCAGCAUGACUGAGGCGGUGAAGGAGGUGGCAACAGCCAUCAGGGAGUGCAAGCCCCUUGACGUCCACCCUGACCUGUAUGGCACUGUCAUGACCCAGGGUGGAUUCAGCGACGAGGCUCUCAUGGCAGCUCUCAGCCACCUGCUUGACAACAAGGCCCAGGGUGUUGGGUUCGUUGCCAUGGCUGACGCUCACAGGGUGCUGUGGCUCAGGAGCUGGCUAGGCAAGCACUACUACUAGAGUAGUGCUGCCUGUGAGCGUGCAUGAUCCCCGAUGGCGAUGGCGGUGGCGACGACGAUGACGAAGACGACGUACAUUUUGUGUAGCUAGGGCUCAAAAACUAUUUGAUGGUAUGUAUAUUUUGGUGAGGUGGUAUAUACUAACCCCUCACGCUGAUGGUGAACUUACGGUGGUAGGACGACACCCUCUUUUGGAUGUGGUAGUAGGUUAACACCAAGGUAGUGCUAGGUUGAACUUGCUAUGCCGUAUGAUCAUGCAUGCUUUACUUCUGUUCUGCUCCAUUGUUGUUUCUGUGCUACUUUGCUUGCUACUUGUGCUCCAUUGAUUUGCUGCUUCAACUCUUCCUCUUGUGCAUUGCUAGGGCAAGUGGUAAGCCGUGUUCAUCGAUGAGGUUCCAGGGGUUUAUAGUUCAUGGGAAGAAGCCAAUGCACAAGUGACAUCGUAUAGCAACUGCAACUAUAGAGGGUUCAAGACUAGGCAGGCAGCAGAACAAGCUUACUCCGCCUGGGUGCGAAAGCACAGAGGCAGCAGUGUCGGCAGUGCCAAGGUUGGAGCUGUCAAAGUGGAAGCUGCUAAGGUGGAUCGUCAGUUCGGCCUGAAGCUGAAGAACUUCAUCAUCUUCGCCCAGUUCGUCACCAUUGCUGUGUUGUGGCGUUGGUGUGCUUGCUGUGAUCGUUGUGGGUAAGGUCACCAACUAGGGUACAAGGUAAGCACGACAUGUACGCUGUAUGCAACCAAACACCGUGUUCAUAUGCCGAUAGGGCUAAUGCAGCCAACCAAACAAAGUGCACUUGGGUAUUACCUAAUGCAGGGACUAGGAAUGCAGGCAACCAAACAACUUGUUUAUGGCGUAUUAGGGCCUGUUUUUCCUCAACCAGGCUGGGUUGAGAAGGCUAUGCAAUGCGACUAUUGUUCCAAACUGGAACCAAACACGCCCCUAGCAAAUGCAUACGAAGAAAAUACUAGCGACAAUACAUAGUUACAUACGGUGCCCCUUGCGAUGCACCACGACUUUAUGACAUGGACAUCAUUCAACUGCAUAAUUCUGCAUGGACCACCGUCGGCCUGGCCUGUUGCGGAAUAAACGCCCUUGUAGCUUGUGGCAUUUAUCAAGAACAAAAUUUGGGAAUGUGUAAAUGAAAGCAUAGUGGCGACUCACUCUUGGUGUUCCCCUUCUGCAAGUAGGCGUCCCCGUCUGCUGCGUCUCCUCUCUCUUCUAUCCUUGCAAUUUAUGUCUCCUCUCACUAUAUCUACUACAGUUAUGUCGUCUGGUUUUGAAUAGCAAGCAAUAGGGACUGUGUAUACGUACACAACACGCUUCAAUGAAGCCACACACAACCCUAAAAAAAAAGAGGCCACACACAGACUCCUGAAAAGGCAACGUCAUUCAAGCGACACUCCGGCCGAUCCAAAACAGCAGUUUCACCACACCCUAAAAAAUCAAAGUUUCACCAUUGAUUUGCACACUUCCACCGUAGAGUGCUGUAGGGUAAAGGAGUAAAAUGCACAUACCACAACUUCCGAGUAUAGCAUAGCAGAAAACUACAACUACAGUUUAGUUUUUUUGAAGCAAUAGUUGAAGCUCUGUGAUGUCCAUUUAUGUGGUAGUGGUAGUACUUCGUACAGUAAUUUACACCAUGAGCUUAAGGUGAGAUAAGCCUUAUUAUUUUUUCUCUACUUAAACUUAUUCUCUUGCACUUACUGGAAAGUUGGAAAAUAAUAAAAGAUGCCCAGUCGAUCGACCGAGGCAGACCGUGUGGCUCAACUCAACCAAGCUUCCACCGUACUCUGUAAUUUAUGCCUUUACUCUACCGAUGUAAUUUUUGCCUUGUUUUUACGAGCGCCGGGGCUAGAGAGACGACAAGAAGAGCAUGGGACUAUGGGAGCAAAGCAAUACAAAUUCCACGUCCAUCCCUACGGAGCGCCAAUGAAGAGCAACAUGAGCUAGUACUGGUUUUCUUUCAAGGAAAAACAAAUGAGCUAGCUUUUCCGGUGCCCCCGCUGCUAGACAGCCUACAUACGUAGUACUCCCUCCGUCCGGAAAUACUUGUCGGAGAAAUGCAUAAAAAUGAAUGUAUCUAGAACUAAAAUACAUCUAGAUACAUCCAUUUCUCCGACGAGUAUUUCUGGACGGAGGGAGUACAUGUUAGGGGCAGAGCCAUUGCUCCCAUCCAUCAACCAGCUGACAAGUGGUGAUGACAAAUGUUGCAGUAGGCAGAUUGCCAAGUUCGUUCAUACAAAUAUUGAAGUGCUCUGCACACUGUGUGCAGAUUGCCUAGUUCGUCCAUAGGGAUAUUGAAGUGCUCUGCACUGUGACGUGCCUACCGCCCAAAGUUGCACUGCUAUUACGACCAUAGUCCCCAAGCCAAGCAACCCACAGCCAGCCUCUUUGAAUGCGUCGCAGCAGCAAUGAGACGAAGUGAAUGCAUGUACAGAGAAAAAGUGAUGGAAGAAUAUUUUUUUUUGAAAAAUACACAAUUGCACAUCCCCCAUAUAACUCACAGCACAGGCGUAUGGCUUCAGUUCAGUGUUCCCCCAUACAUACAAAGAGCACCCACAUCCUCUCUACUCUCUACUCUCUACUCUCUAGUGGUGCCGUGCCUCCCCAUUCCCCAACCUCGCCGCUUGGUUUCCCAUGGCGAACCAGCUGCCGGUGCAGCAGCAGGUCGACCCGCUUGGACAUGAACAUCUCAACCAGCAGCGCAUGUGCGCCCCGCGGCAGCAAAGCCUAAACGUAAGUUUCUACCUCCUUGCAGAAAAUCAGGGUGGAGCACGUAUUUUCUAGCUAGCCAUCGCUUCCUAUGUGUCGCCUGCUUCCUCUUGUCUUGGCUCCGAGCGCCCGGUCGGCGUUUGGUCCUCCUCGCCUCGCUCGUCCGGCCGGCUUCCGGCUGCUUGGCUUGGACGACCUGUGCGUGUUCCGAGUUCUUUCCCACACGUCCGGCCUGGGCAGCGCGCAUGAAACUCAAAAGUAUCAGCGAAUGCGUAUGCCCAGCACCACUUGCAUGCGGAUCUCUCUCUCUCUCUCUCUCUCUCUCUGUGUGUGUGUGUGUGUUUUUCUUUACCACAUCACUUUUUUGCAGUACUACAUAUCACGUUUAUUUUUGGGCGUGUUUUGAGCUUGUUGGAGUUGUGAGCAUCUUACUUUCGACAAAAUUAAAAAAAGAAAAAUCUCGAAGAAAAAAAAAGACGAGCUGUGAGCAUCUUAGUUUCGAUAAAAUUAUUAGGUUUCAAAAAAAAUCGAAGAAAAAAAAGGGACGAGUUGUGAGCAUCUUCAUCACUAUGUGGAGACCGGAUUUGUACUUUACCGUGGGUUUUGGAGUAUUGUUUCGGGUCAAUAAAAUUCAGUUGGUCCAAAAAAUGCGCACGUACGCCGGUCCUAGAUGUACGGCACCACCGCGUACAGCUAUAGCCACAGAAAAAACUUUAAAGCCGUGUACCCAAUAUACUCGGCUUAUAUUGAUAUAAACAUGGUUUAUAUAUAAGCCGAGUAAAAUACCCGGCUUACAUGACACGGUUUACACUCCAUCGGCUUAUAAGGUAUAAGCCGAGUGCCAGUGCAAAAACUCUCAGUUUAUGUAUAAACUGUGUGUUUAUACGAGGCUCUCAGCUUACUAAAGUAACAUGACGGCAGCUGAAAGAUAACGGCCACAUGUCACUGUCUGUAUAAACCGAGUGUCUACUGAAGCCACACGGUUUAUGUAUAAACCGAGCGUCUACUGAAGCCACACGGUUUAUGUAUAAACCGAGUGCCUACAAGCGCUACACAUUUUAUCUAUAAACCAAGUGCCAAAAUGAGCCGCACGGUUUCUAUAUAAACAUAUAAACCGAGUGCCGACUCCUGCUGUACUCGGCUUAUAGUCCAGCCGUUGUUACAAAUAUGCCUAUAAGCCGUGUGCCUGGCACCUGGAGUACUCGGCUUAUACAGCUCCCGUGGCAUAAUAUGCCUAUAAGCCGGGUGCCAUGUCCCUGGGACACUCGGUUUAUAGGCCAGAUUGCUUUUUUCUUUCUACAUGCUUCAGCGAGCAGCGGCAACAUGGCUUAUAUAUCCAGCAAGCAACAUGUCCAGCAAAUAUAGAUCCAGCAAGUAAUAUAUAACCAACGAAGGUUCACAACAACAAUAUAUUACAACUUGACAACCAUAACAAAUUGACCAUGAGUCCAAAGUCCACACAGGUACAUAUCCAACAAGGUUCACAAACAAAAGCAUGAGUUCCAAGUUCACACCAAGCAUGAACCUCAAACAUGCAAUGUGCUCCACCGUAGCAUGUGUGCCCACCGUCAACGGCAUCCACGAUGCAAACCUAUAAGUCCAUUAUCAAACGCAUGAGUUUUCAAAGUUAAGUUUCAAAUGAUUGAUAAGGCACAAGAGUCAACAAGCAUCAACAUAUAAGGUUCAAAUUGAAGCUAAGAAGUAUGAACAAUAUAAGCAUCAACACUUGUGGGCUCUACUAUCAACAAUGCACAAGUUGUAAGUUGAGAAGCACAAAGACAAGACGCAAGCAUCAACAAUGCACAAACAUAGACAACUACCUCGAGUGAUCAUUGUUGCAAGGAGGUCGAAGCGCCAUGAGCCGUAGUGGGAGUCACUGGGCUUGCUUGUCCUGACUGAGAACACUUCAAGCACGAGAAGGUAAGAUGGUAAGAUUCAUGAUCUUUAAGCAUGACUAG